AUUGAACGCUGGCGGCGUGCCUAACACAUGCAAGUCGAGCGGUAAGGCCCUUUCGGGGGUACACGAGCGGCGAACGGGUGAGUAACACGUGGGUGACCUGCCCUCAGCUCUGGGAUAAGCCUGGGAAACCGGGUCUAAUACUGGAUAUGACUCCAUGACGCAUGUUGUGGGGUGGAAAGCCUUGUGCGGCUGAGGAUGGGCCCGCGGCCUAUCAGCUUGUUGGUGGGGUGAUGGCCUACCAAGGCGACGACGGGUAGCCGGCCUGAGAGGGCGACCGGCCACACUGGGACUGAGACACGGCCCAGACUCCUACGGGAGGCAGCAGUGGGGAAUCUUGCGCAAUGGGCGAAAGCCUGACGCAGCGACGCCGCGUGAGGGAUGACGGCCU
rnacentral:rRNA from 1 species